GGAAGUCUUCUGUGUAGCAGCAAAGGGAGAAGAGGGGUUGGCAUCACUGUGCUUCCAAGGAGACAUCACGGGGACCCAAGUCAUGCUCUUCACCUGGGCAGGGGAGCAAACAACUUCAUCAGAGAAAGGUUUUGUGAAACAAAGCUGUCCUAUUGAGCCCCCAGAAAGAAGCACAGGCAACUUUACAGCUUGAAGAAGCAUUUACAAAUGCUCCUGAAAAAGAGCCAGAAAGGGCUGGGUCAGCAGCUCUGUGCACACAACGUGGAAAACUGAUCCCAGCUGAACCUUCCCAGCACUUUUAGUCUUUUCUUCCCUCUCACAACCUGGGAUUACCAGAGAUGGCAAACACAAAUGUUUGUGUGCCAUCCACUGCAGCAAAAAGUGCUGGAAAUGAGGAUUCCUUUGUUUGCUUGGUGAGGAAAAUACCUUGAGUUUGUACUUGUGAUGGGAAUUACUGUGUCUGAGCCCUGAACAUUCGAAUGCCUCCAGUGCCAUCAAGCCUGUUCCUCUUCGGUAGCUGAUAAUCAGCAUUCUCUAUACUCUUGCUUUCCCCUAUUCCUUUCUUAUUCCAGUAAAUGUCACAAAAUCAUUUAUUAGCCUGA